rnacentral:rRNA from 1 species
AGAAUCAACGCUGGCGGCGUGCCUAACACAUGCAAGUCGAACGAGAAAGUGGGAGCAAUCCCACGAGUAAAGUGGCGCACGGGUGAGUAACACGUGACUAACCUACCCUUGAGUGGGGGAUAACCUAGGGAAACCUGGGCGUAAUACCGCAUAAUACCUACGGGUCAAAGGAGCAAUUCGCUUAAGGAGGGGGUCGCGGCAGAUUAGUUAGUUGGCGGGGUAAUGGCCCACCAAGACAGUGAUCUGUA